AUCGAGAAACAGUUUUUCAAAAUUAUGCCACCCACUUGUACGACACUACGGUUAACGCGCCAUAAUCACAACCUACACCAAUAUGAUAAGCAGCAUCCAGGUAUCACAGUAAACACGACAAUUAAUUAUUAUCAAUUAAGAUCAGCUGAUCACAUGUUUGGCGUAACGUGUGUGUCGAAAUGAAUUCACUAAAUGCAAUUACCGAAACGACUGGUCAUAUCUCUACAUCGAGGUCCGUUCCAUUGAUCGUAGAUAAGCGCUGAUAAGUGAUAAGACAAUGUCAAAAGGACGAGGUCGCGUUGCUCGUGCGAGCAGAGUAUUCGUCAACGCGUCCCAGUCACAACUAAAACAUCAUACAUCGUUGAAUGAGUAUGCCGGCGCGAGCGCACGCCACUUCAGCCAUGCCGGCUGGAUCAGAUAUAAGUUACACGGUAGUUAUUCAAGCAAUGAAUAACAUAUGAUACUACUUAACAAAUAAUGUACGAGCGAGCCUUGGUAUAUCACAGUUUUGAAUCAGGACAUUGAUGUGAAACGUAGAUCAAAACAUUCAAGCUUUCUUCUUAAUGAACGUCGUAAAACCGUGAAGCGAUCAAGUGAGAGCAACAAACGGAAAUGUGGCGGGCGGUUCUUGUGCAUCGAAACACCGGAUGCGCCGAAAUUCGGUGGAUAAAAUAACUGUACGAUAGCCACCCAUCGGCGCGAUCGACUGACUGGGGAUCGCACCUCAUCGAAAAAUUACCCUUGACGAGUUGUUCCGUGGAUAAUAGACAUAACCAGCAAAGUGGCGCUAAUGGCAUAAUCGCUUUCUAGGGGUGACGAUACAAAUGAAAAUUUUAUUUGGGCGUAGUUUGUUGAAAAAUAUUUUCAUUGGACGGCUAGUUUGAAUUUUAAACAAAAGG